ACAUAUAUAGUGUAUUUAACACACUAACUUUUCAUGUUAGAGAUAUGCUUUAGCAUUAUAUG
rnacentral:tRNA from 1 species